rnacentral:rRNA from 1 species
UGCAAGUCGAGCGGCAGCACGGGGAGCUUGCUCCCUGGUGGCGAGCGGCGGACGGGUGAGUAAUGCAUAGGAAUCUGCCCGGUAGUGGGGGAUAACCUGGGGAAACCCAGGCUAAUACCGCAUACGCCCUACGGGGGAAAGCAGGGGCUCUUCGGACCUUGCGCUAUCGGAUGAGCCUAUGUCGGAUUAGCUGGUUGGUGAGGUAAUGGCUCACCAAGGCGACGAUCCGUAGCUGGUCUGAGAGGAUGAUCAGCCACAUCGGGACUGAGACACGGCCCGAACUCCUACGGGAGGCAGCAGUGGGGAAUAUUGGACAAUGGGCGCAAGCCUGAUCCAGCCAUGCCGCGUGUGUGAAGAAGGCCUUCGGGUUGUAAAGCACUUUCAGUGGGGAAGAAAGCCUGGCGGUUAAUACCCGCGAGGAAGGACAUCACCCACAGAAGAAGCACCGGCUAACUCCGUGCCAGCAGCCGCGGUAAUACGGAGGGUGCGAGCGUUAAUCGGAAUUACUGGGCGUAAAGCGCGCGUAGGUGGCUUGAUAAGCCGGUUGUGAAAGCCCCGGGCUCAACCUGGGAACGGCAUCCGGAACUGUCAGGCUAGAGUGCAGGAGAGGAAGGUAGAAUUCCCGGUGUAGCGGUGAAAUGCGUAGAGAUCGGGAGGAAUACCAGUGGCGAAGGCG